AACGAACGCUGGCGGCAUGCCUAACACAUGCAAGUCGAACGAGACCUUCGGGUCUAGUGGCGCACGGGUGCGUAACGCGUGGGAACCUGCCCUUAGGUUCGGAAUAACUCCCCGAAAGGGGUGCUAAUACCGGAUAAUGUCUUCGGACCAAAGAUUUAUCGCCUUUGGAUGGGCCCGCGUUUGAUUAGCUAGUUGGUAGGGUAAAAGCCUACCAAGGCGACGAUCCAUAGCUGGUCUGAGAGGAUGAUCAGCCACACUGGGACUGAGACACGGCCCAGACUCCUACGGGAGGCAGCAGUGGGGAAUAUUGGACAAUGGGCGAAAGCCUGAUCCAGCCAUGCCGCGUGAGUGAUGAAGGCCUUAGGGUUGUAAAGCUCUUUUACCCGGGACGAUAAUGACGGUACCGGGAGAAUAAGCCCCGGCUAACUCCGUG
rnacentral:rRNA from 1 species